UGUAAGUGGCUGUCAGGUUUGGGGUUUAUACAAAGCUGUGGCUGUGUUCUAGUCAUACUUUACGUGAUUUAGAAAGACUGCAAACAUUGGAACUAGAAGCCUAUUGUUUUCUUAUUUUCUUGGGAAAUUGGUGAUGACCUCAAAGAUACUUUUUGCAAGCCAUGAUGGGAGACCCCGUGGAGAGCCACAGAAGGACAGUUUUUUCAUCCAGCAUGGAGGGCUUUGGGAGAGAUAAGAAUAGGGUGUUUAAAGGAGAGGACCUUGCCUGGCCAACCAGACAGCCAGAGUCAGCUGGUGAGCAGCAAGUGUUGGAUGUCAAAGCAUUCAAGCAUUGGGGAUUUAUGGCUGGAAAUCUUUCAAAAGUGACAACAUGUCGAUUAGUUAAUGUGACCCAGGAUUGUGUUGAAUGAAACUGCUGCUACCCAGAUGUCCUGGAAGAAUGUGGGAACCUGGAAAGAGGACCAUCUAUUCACUUGCCUGCUGUGAGUUCCACUUGUGGACUCUCUAAGGAUGAAAUAACAUCAGAAGAGAAUGAUGAAUUAGAAGAGCCAGACAGAGUUCCUGCAUUGCAAGCUCCAAAUUAACUGUAUAGUGAACAGAUUUGCAAAGUUAAAAAAACACAUGGGAAAAGGGCCUUCUGUUUAUUUUUUCUCCUUAUUAAUUCACCACAACCACCAUCAAGUGUCCCAGUUUUUGUCUGGGAAGAGAGGCUGACAGGGCCAGUGAUCAAAAAGCAGCUGGAAAACCCCAAGAAAUUAUGGAACUCUCAUAAAAGAAUCAAAGGACAAUGUUUUUCAAACCACUUGAAAAACUGAAGAGUCCAUUCUGGUCAUGUUAUUGUGUUUUUUGUGAUGUGUUAACAACUGUAAUGAAGGACAUCAGCAUUUGUGGACUGGAGUGGAAUGUUGGCAAAGAAAUUCCAGUCUCCUAAAUGACAGGAUUCACAGGAUCUUUUAGGGAAGCCCAUGAUUAGUAUGAAAAUAAUGUCCAUGAUGUAUCUUAAGAACGAACCCAGGUAAGUAAUUGUUCAGUAAAAUUUCAAACAAAUGAAUGUUUAUAAUAAAGUAUAAAACAUAUUACUUAUUAAAUAUAUUUAUACUUAUCUUCUACUUGAUCUAUAUAAAUUGUCAGUAUUUAUUAGGUAGUUUCUGUAGAGCUCAGAAACAAUGAUAAUAUCUCUUUCUGGAAAGGUUUAACUAAUAGAGGAAAGAAAAGAGGAUGUUUCAGUUGUUUACCUCAGGACUGCAACUUGAGAGUGAAUGUCAAGGAAACCACUAAAUCUUAAAAAACAAAACAAAAACCUCUUUAGUUCAAUAUAUCCACCAAGCAUUUGAGUAUAGGUGGUAUUUUAUUAGUGUUUUUGAAAUAUUGACUGUGAUACAAGGAAGGCUAGAAGAUGCCACAUCCAUUCUUUUUUUUUUUUUUUUUUUUCCCCUAGAAUUUUACUGUUUUUAAUUGUGGUGAACCAGCCUCAUUCUACCAGUCAUGCCUGCUUACAAUGACAUAUCGCUUUUCCAUUUCCUGGUCACUUAAGUUAUCCAUCUAUUUACUUACCUCUGAUAUUGCCAAAAACUACAGUGAGGAAAAACAUUAUCCAAGCUAUUAUAUGUUGAGCUAUUAUUUAAAAAAAUGGCAUUUAUGUAUAAAUAGUUCCAGGUGUAGAACUAAGUUCAUAUAUUAAACUUUCUGGAAACUCCCUUCUAGAAAAUUUUGUCAUAGACUCAUAAAAUUAUUUUUUUAUAAUACAUAUCAUAAUGUAGAAUCUGCCUAUUUGUGCAUAUGUGCACACAUGUACGUGCACGUGUGCAUGCACACACAUGCCAGCCAUUCUGUACAUUUCUUAAGGCAGUGACUACUCAGUAAAUGUUGGACAAAAGGAAUAGAGACACAUGCAUACAUAUAUGGUAGCUUUGAUCUGGACCAAUGUAACAUUCCAGUGGUCAUGACCAUGCCUUAUUCUAUUUAGAGGGUACCAGUGUUAUUAGCAGAGCACCUUGCGUAUACCAAGUACCCAAUAAACAGUGGCUUAAUGUGGAAUAAAAUCAGUAACGCCAUUUUCUUUUUCAAUACUGAAGGGCAUGGCAUAACUUUCAAUAAAUACUAGAUUGUUUUCAGAUGAAAAUAAUAACAUUUUAUAGUUUACAAAGUGCUCUUAUAUCCAAUUUUCAUUUAAUCCUUAUUACAGCCCACAAACUAGAUAUUCUUACUCACAUUUUAAGGUAAGAAAAUUAAACACAGGAAGUUAUAGGACUUGCUCAAGGUCAUCACAAAAUAAGUCACCAUGUUGGGAAGCAAACCAAACCUUGAUCUCUUUGCACCAGAUAAUUUCUGUGUAGCCUUCAUAAACCAAAAAAGUCUGUCAUUUACAAGUGGGGAUGCUGAUGGACAAUUUGUAUCAUCACCAUUUUAGAUCAGCAUUUAUGGUAUCUAUACCUACAAAGCCACCUUCUUUUUUUCUUUAAAAAUUUAAGAGCUGGGUAUUUGCCUUGUGAAAAUUCACUGAAAUUAGAAACAUCUUCUGCACUGUGUCUUGUGAUGUCAGGCUUUGCUGCCUGCUUAUUAGCUUAUUAAGUCUUUCAUGCUAUCAAACUCAAAGAACCUCCCAAGUUCCAAAAUGUCUCAAGUCACAUCUUUACCCUUCCCAUCUGUGUAGUUUGUCUGAAAUUCCAAGUUAUUCCGUUGAAAGUU